CCACAAAACCAAACAGAAGGUUUGAAGAACUCAGGAAGUUUCCUUCAGCCAUUUUAAAUAGUUGUUCCUUGAUAACAGUGAAGCUUUUCUUAUAUAUAUAUUUUUAAUCGGUGAAUUAUAACUUAAAGGAUUUUGCUUGGCUUGGUCGUCGGAAACAGGAAAUGGUUUAUGAGGUUCAUCACUACCGCAUGGAUGUAAUCAAACACACCCACGCAGGGAGCUGCACGGCCUUGACCUUAUCCUGACAGCAACGCUAAAACACGUCAAGAUACCAAACUAUUUAAAAAAAAACAUGCCAGACGUUUCGACAAGUCGGUGACAGGAUGCGAACGAGAGGAACUCGUAACACAAUGCUCAUAAAUCCUCGCCUGGACAUUUCAGCUUUACGUUACACACCAAGGAGCCACGGAGGAGCCGGUUAACGCUGAGGUUGGAGUUCAGGACGAGUCACGUGAAUCAGACACUUGCAUCAUCAGUCCUGAGAACAAAGGCACCACUGUUCAGUUCGGUGUAAACGAUGUGCUCAGAUUAACAUUAAUCCUCGGUCUGAUCAGAUGUUUGGCUUCAUCAUGACUCUGACAAAGCGGCUUGUUUAAGGACUGUUUUGUCAACGAGGGUGAAGAUGAAUUUCUGCUCUGUGA